GCACUACUGAUGAGUCCCAUAAUAGGACGACACGACAGUCCAGUGU
rnacentral:hammerhead_ribozyme from 1 species